UUUCUACUUGUUUUUACAUUUUCUACUUCAAUUCCCUUUCUUAUUGCUUUCUAUAGUCUAUGCUUAAUCAGUUGUUUUCUAUAACUAUUGGAAAAAACUCACCAAAGACAAUAGUCUAUGUGAUUGUUUUUUCGCUAUGGAUACUCUUGAGUUGAGGAAGGAAUUUGUGCAGAUUGUUUUAAGUACCAAUAGUUCUUAGUAGAAUUUUCAAUAUUUAAUGCUUUAUAAUUUAGUAAAACAAGAUCAAGUGAAAAUUGUUUACUUUACUCAUGCAUUGAGUUGUUUAUGUUCCUUUAUUAGUUUUAUUACUAUCAGCGUUGUGUUUGUUAUGUUUGAUACAAUGGCUUUUGCAGUAUGUAAUUAAAUUGGUUAAUCAUAUUCUAAUUGAUAAUCAAUUCCACUUUUUAAACCUCAAAUGCACUAUACAAUUCAUGUUCCUAAUUGAUUUUGCUACUGGUUUUUUCAUUAUGCAUAAUGUCAUUUCGUUUAUGAUUUAUUCGAUUAUGAAGAGUACUGAUUCUGCUAUUGCAUAUAUUUUAAUUAUGGUGCUGAAACAGUUUAAUAUAAGUAUUGUACAUCACAAUCUCGAUGGUUAAUGCUACCAAAAUGAUUUAAGAUCUAUGAGUCUAAUUUCUGUUGUUGAAGCUUACAUGUGCACAAUUAAAAUCUAUGAAUGGCUUCAUGAACAAGUGGUUAAUUGAGUUGGUUAAAUGACAUAUUUUAGUGUAAGAUAUUGUAGAUGCAGGAUGUUCAAAUUUCUUGACAACAACAUCACUUUCUUCAAGUUUGUUUGCUGAAAAAUUCUUUCCACCAAGACGAACUCCGCGUUUUCUCCUUCACAAUCACUGUAGAAUUAUUUUUUGUUGGCAACAAUAAUAUGAAGUCUUCUAUAACAAUUCAAAAUAAUUAAGACUGAUAUUUUCUGUAAGAAAAUGUAUUAUCGCAGUUCUGUUUCUACUAUUGUAUGCAUUUUUUUAAAACUUUAACAAUUUCAGAGACAAACCCGAACCUACGAGAUUCAGAGGCAUACUUGGAAUAGGAAUCUGCCUGUUUCGGACUGUGAAAAGCUUCAACUUUUGGUAUAUUUAUACACUAAUUUAUGGGGAAUAUGCAGAAUUGUAAUGUUAACAUGGUUUGUCUACACUAUAACAAUGAUUAUCUUGUGAAAAUCAUCAUAUAUACUCUAUCAAUGCAAUAUUAUUCUAAUUUGAAUUAUAGUUUCAAUUUGCAUUGUAUUGAUUUUGACAUUGUUUUCAUGUUUCCCUUGCUUUGGUGUAUUUUGAGGUGUUGAAUGAAAUAUUGAAAUUACAGAUGUUGUAGCAUGUUUAUGCAGCAACUAACAAAGCCAAUUAAAAGCAUGAGUUUCCUGCAUAAUUGAAUCUUAUUAAGGAUGGUUACAGUACAAUGAAAAGCAAUUUAGAAUAGAGGGUGUGAUACAUUAAUAGCUUGUUUGUCAUUUUCCAAUUUGAUGCAAGGAGCUGAAGCUUCCAAUUCUUCCAUGGAUUAUAGUAACAAUCAAAGCUGUAGAUAUGACGUGUUUAUCAGUUUCAGAGGUCCUGACACACGCAACAAAUUUGUCGACCAUCUUUAUAAUCAUCUAACUAGAAAAGGUAUUUUUGCCUUCAAGGAUGAUAAAAGGCUUGAGAAAGGAGAAUCCCUUUCCCCGCAACUUCUACGAGCAAUUAAAAAUUCACGGAUUUCUAUUGUUGUCUUCUCCGAAAGAUAUGCCAAGUCCAAGUGGUGUUUGGAAGAGAUGGCUACUAUUGCUGAAUGCCGUAUAGAACUCAAUCAAAAAGUAUUUCCUGUUUUUUAUGAUAUCGAUCCAUCUGAUGUACGAAAUCAGAAUGGGGUGUACGAGAACACUUUAAAUGUAGACAGGAUGAGUUCCAAACAUGGUUGGAAUAAGGCUGUGAGAUGGGUGAAGGCUAUGCGUGUUUUAGCUAACUUAGUCGGUUGGGAUGUCAGGAACAAGCCAGAGUCUAUAGAGAUAGAAAAUAUUGUUCAAGCAAUAAUAAAAACAUUGAAUCAUAAAUUCUCAGGGUUUACCACCGAUCUUGUUGGGAUACAACCUCGCAUAGAAGAGUUAGAAAAGCUUCUAAGAUUGAGCUCAAAGGAUGACGACUUUCGAGUAUUGGGAAUUUGGGGGAUGGGUGGAGUAGGGAAGACAACUCAUGCUGCUGUUUUGUAUGAUAGAAUCUCUUAUCAGUUUGAUGCUUGUUGUUUUAUUAAUAACACAGGCAAACUUUAUAUAGAUGGUGGUGUUGUUGCUGUACAAAAACAGAUUCUUCGUCAAGCUCUAGAUGAAAGAAAUCUAGACUCAUACGAUACUGGUGAGAUAGCUGGGAUUAUGAUAAAUAGACUUCAGAGUGGCAUUAAGGUCCUUCUAGUUCUUGACAAUGUUGAUCAAUAUGAACAAUUGGAGGAAUUGGCUAUAGAUCCUAAGUUGCUUUGCAAAGAAAGUAGAAUAAUCAUAACUACAAGGGACGAGCAUAUUCUAAGAGUGUAUGGGGUGGAUAAAAUUCACAAAGUUCCCCUGUUGAAUAGUAAUGAUGCUUCUGAACUUUUUAGUAGAAGAGCUUUCAAAGGUGAAGAACGAAGCAGCAAUUGUGUUGAGUUGAUUCCAGAGAUACUAAAAUAUGCUCAAAAUCUUCCAUUAGCAAUUAAAGUUGUUGGCUCUUUCUUGUGUACUCGAGAUGCUACUCAGUGGAGAGAUGCUUUGGAUAGAUUAAAGAACAAUCCAGACAAUAAAAUUAUGGACGUGCUCCAGAUGAGUGUUGAUGGACUACAACAUGAGGAGAAGGAAAUAUUUUUGCACAUCGCUUGUUUUUUUAAAGGGGAGAGGGAAGAUUAUGUAAAGAGAAUUCUAGAUGCAUGUGGAUUAUACCCUCACAUUGGAAUUCAAAGAGUCAUUGAGAAGUCACUCAUUACCAUUAAAAACCAAGAGAUUCAUAUGCAUGAUAUGUUACAAGAACUUGGGAAGAAAAUCGUCCGGCACCGAUUUCUCGGAGACCCAGCAUCGUGGAGUAGAUUAUGGCAAUACCAUGACUUCUAUCAAGUCUUGACAACAGAAACGGUAAUAAAUUAUGUUUCCAAAACUAGUGGGUGCAAUUUAUACUUUUUGGGUGAAUUUAACUUGUGUGAUAUGCGAGAAAUGAUACUAAUCAUUGAUUAUUUCAUCAGGUAUAUGUUCUCUUUUAGGCUUAAAUGUCUGUUUUGCUCAUUAAAGAUACACCAAUUUUAUAUAAUAUCUUGUCUAGGUUAUAGAUACGCUUCAAGUAGUUUCACAUUUCUUGGGCAGUGGAAAAAGAUCGCAAAUUAUUAAUCAUGUGAGGAUCAAUAGUAACGAGAAUCCAAGUGAUAAUCUGAGCAUCUUCUAUUUCCCAUGCAUCUAAGUCAGUUGUCUCUAACGGUGCCAAAGAGACAUCGUCCAAGUGACUCCAUAAUCCUUUCCCUUUGACAUACAUCCGAAACUGAAAUUCCCAAACAAGAUAAUUCUUUCCGGUAAAACGAACACAAAUAUGAUCUAUCUCUUCUUCGGAAGCCAUAAUAUCAGAGAUGACUUAAGAACAAUUUUGUUAACGUAACAAUUUUGUUAACGUGAAACAAGAAACACCAACGGAACACUGAAGAAAUUACUUGCUGACACCAAAUCAACACCCCAAUUCAGAAUACUCGCCGACACCAAGUCAAAACCCUAAUUCAGAAUAAUUGCCGACACAGAGUCAAAACUCUAAUUCAGAAUAAUUGUCGACACAGAGUCAAAACCCUAAUUCAGAAUAAUUGCCGACACAGAGUCAAAACCCUAAUUCAGAAUAUUUGCCGACACCGAUACGAUAACACGAUCCAAGAUUGCCUACUAAAUUAUUGACGCGGAGGUUGAAUGUUAGAUGUUUAGACUUUAGAGUAUUAGCCAACACCAACCAACUUAUAUCAUAUUUUAAGAUUGUUAAAUUUUCAAAUUUGAUGCAAGGAGGUGAAGCUUCCAAUUCUUCCAUGGAUUAUAAUCACAAUCAGAGCCGUAAAUAUGACGUGUUUAUCAGUUUCAGAGGUCCUGACACACGCAACAAAUUUGUCGAC